UGAGGGUUCCCCAAGAUAGAGUAAUCACCGCAGUAUAUAACAACACUAAUAUUUAUUAUCAGAAGUAGAAAUAGUUAAUACAAAUUAAACUUUGGAAUGAGUGAUAUCGUAUGCUUCACGUGUGGUGUAAGCGUUAGGCGUAGAAUUGCUUUGGUAUCAAGGCUUGCUUCCGCGGGCGACGGGUUGCGCCUUCAGGUUGAUUGGCACGCUGCGCCGUGGCCGGAGUGGAAACUGCAGUGGGCGGAGUCGCCACAGUUGCGAUGGCGAAUAGCUGUAAAUAUUGUAAAUACCUACUGUAGAAAAUGAAUAGAAAACAUGGUUAAAACAAAAAAAUGGCCUGGUCGGUUAAUGUACGGGUCCAACAUUCCGGUUGAAUCCCAGACAUCUGAGAAGACUAGAUGUAUCUAUCUGUGAUUUGUGCAAUAAUUCAGUCACUGAAUAUGUUGCAUCACCAUGCAGACACUGGUUUGGUUGUCAAAAUUGUACACUGCUGUACGUUCAGACGUCUCUGGAGGUGAAUGCCUUUUUGAAGUGUCGGUGGUAUCCCCAGGAGUGUCGUGCAUUCAAACGUGUUUUUAUUACGUAAACAUCUCUUCGGGGAAGGGAAAUUCGGGAAGGCAUGUUCAGGAAAAAGUCUCAAGAAUAUCCAUGCAGUUAUCAUAAGUACUUCACGGUUCUCACUUAUCUUGUACUAUUUCUCCCUCAUUCAAUAAACGGAACAAACAUGUAUCUCAUUUGUUCGAUUGGUCAAAAACCCCAAUAGAUUGAAAAUUCCAAUAGAUUCUUAUUCAAUAACAAAAUAUACAAUCAA